CCUACGGGAGGCAGCAGUGAGGAAUAUUGGGCAAUGGACGAGAGUCUGAACCAGCCAAGUAGCGUGAAGGAGGACUGCCCUAUGGGUUGUAAACUUCUUUUAUAUGGGAAUAAAAUGUUCCACGUGUGGGAUUUUGUAUGUACCAUAUGAAUAAGGAUCGGCUAACUCCGUGCCAGCAGCCGCGGUAAUACGGAGGAUCCGAGCGUUAUCCGGAUUUAUUGGGUUUAAAGGGAGCGUAGGUGGAUUGUUAAGUCAGUUGUGAAAGUUUGCGGCUCAACCGUAAAAUUGCAGUUGAAACUGGCAGUCUUGAGUACAGUAGAGGUGGGCGGAAUUCGUGGUGUAGCGGUGAAAUGCUUAGAUAUCACGAAGAACUCCGAUGGCGAAGGCAGUUCACUGGACUGCAACUGACACUGAGGCUCGAAAGUGUGGGUAUCAAACAGGAUUAGAUACCCUUGUAGUC
rnacentral:rRNA from 1 species